rnacentral:tRNA from 1 species
GGCCCGCUGGCGCAACUGGAUAGCGCACCGGCUUUCUAUCCUGGAGGAUCCCGGUUCGAGUCCGGGGCGGGCCACCA